rnacentral:rRNA from 1 species
GGACGNAAGUCUGAUCCAGCCAUUCCGCGUGCAGGAUGAAGGCCCUCGGGUUGUAAACUGCUUUUGUACGGAACGAAAAGGUCUCUCUUAAUACGAGGGGCUCAUGACGGUACCGUAAGAAUAAGCACCGGCUAACUACGUGCCAGCAGCCGCGGUAAUACGUAGGGUGCAAGCGUUAAUCGGAAUUACUGGGCGUAAAGCGUGCGCAGGCGGUUAUAUAAGACAGAUGUGAAAUCCCCGGGCUCAACCUGGGAACUGCAUUUGUGACUGUAUAGCUAGAGUACGGUAGAGGGGGAUGGAAUUCCGCGUGUAGCAGUGAAAUGCGUAGAUAUGCGGAGGAACACCGAUGGCGAAGGCAAUCCCCUGGACCUGUACUGACGCUCAUGCACGAAAGCGUGGGGAGCAAACAGGAUUAGAUACCCUGGUAGUCCACGCCCUAAACGAUGUCAACUGGUUGUUGGGUNUUUACUNCCUCNGUACCG